UACCCUAAAUCACGGGGGUAUAUUGGUAUUUUACCUAAUAUCAUCAAACCGUUCAAACCCUAUCGGAGUCCCUGGUUUUAUUCCGCGGCAGUUCCGGCCAUAUACACCCCCACCCACCCUCUACCUUUCUUCCGGCAGCUGCCUUCGCUUCCGCUUCCGCCUCCGCUGGCAGCUUCUUCACUUCGCCCACAAGGAGCUCAAUUGAAUUUGCUCUUUUUGUGAUGGCAAAUUCACCAGAUGUGGAUGCAGAUGAUGACUUUAGUGAACUCUACAAGGAAUACACAGGCCCUCCACGAUCCACCACUGUUGUUCCACAAGAGAAGACGAAUACAAAUAAAAGGUCUCAUGCUGGUUCUGAUGAGGAGGAUGAACCUCGUGAUCCCAAUGCUGUGCCAACUGAUUUUACCAGCCGAGAAGCCAAGGUUUGGGAGGCCAAGUCAAAAGCUACAGAGAGGAAUUGGAAGAAGAGAAAAGAGGAAGAAAUGAUCUGCAAAAGAUGUGGUGAAUCAGGCCAUUUUACUCAGGGAUGCCCCUCAACAUUGGGAUCAAGUCGUAAAUCUCAAGAUUUUUUUGAAAGGGUACCAGCCAGGGAUAAACACGUGAGAGCAAUUUUCACUGAUAGAGUAAUACAGAAGAUAGAAAAGGACGUUGGUUGUAAGAUCAAGAUGGAUGAGAAAUUCAUAAUUGUUAGUGGCAAGGACAGGCUAAUUUUGUUAAAGGGAUUGGAUGCUGUCAACAAGUUAAUUAAGGAGGAUGGUGAUCAAAAGGGUUCUUCUAGUUCUCAUAUGAGUAGGUCCAGGUCACCGGAUCGAAGCCCUGCUGGUUCAAGAUCACAACGUUCUGAUGUCCAUAGAUCACAUUCUGGUCCUACAAAUGCAUCACAAUUUCAACCUAGGUUUAGCAGACAGGAGAAGGUUGUGGAAAAUCGUGCUCGUGAUGAUUUGCAGAAAUAUCCAAGGAGCUCGGUUCAAGCACAAGCGUAUGGCAAUGACAGAGUUAGAGGUCGUUCAAGCCACUCAAAGUCUCCAGCUCAUCCACCUUAUUCUGGCAGCUCGUUUGGUUCAUAUGAUAGUUAUCAGAACAAGAAUGCAUAUGGUAGAACUGAAGGAUGGGACAAUGAGAGAAGAGGAUCUGAUUUGCAAUCUAGUCGUCAGUUUGAGUAUCCAGCUUUUCCCCAAUCUCUUGAAGAACUGGAGAUAGAGUAUAAAAGGGAAGCAACUGAACUUGGAAAGAUUCGUGAUAAAGAAGAAGAUGAAGAAAAUUAUAAAAACCGUGAGACUAUAAGGGAGAUGAGAGAGAGCUACACGAAGAAAUUGACUCAUUUGAGGGGCACACAUGCAAAGCAGUGGGAUGAGUUUCUCCAACUUGAUGCCCAAAGGCGUCAGCAACAAGUGCACCAGCAAAUGGCUGCUUCAGGUUUUGGUGGUUAUAAGCAGCAUAACUAUUCUGAAUAUGAAGGUGGCUCAGUCAAUGCCCAUUAUGAAGGGGCUAAUUUGGCAGCCCUCGAUUCAAGAAGCAAGUAUCAAAAUCACAUGGAGAAUUAUCCUUCAAGACCUCAUGGUAAUUUUGGGGAGUUUCAACGUCAGAGGCGUGAUGAUUACGAGAAUGCUUACAAACGAUACUAAUUUGUUAACCAGGAAGUAAGUUGGUAAGUAGUCUAACCCUUCAGCCAAAUUAAAAGGAUUUUAGUCAUCUUCAACUUUUUGGUUUGGCUGUAUGAUUGGCAAUACAUAAUCUCCAUGCCGAAUUUCAUAUUACUCCAUAAAGUGCGUGGACUUGAGCCCAUGUCCAUUAGAAGGAUUCAGAUCCAUCUUGGGUAGAGGCAUAAUGCUUGGAGGAACGCCUAAUGAAAGAUGGCCUGAAUCCCUGGGAUGACAUAAUACGCCCCAAAAUUGAACCUUUGACUUCUAGAGAGUUCAUGCAAAUUACGAUUGAGUUAAGCUCGUUUAUGCAUAAUACAUCUGAUUGUUGAGAACGAACUGACUAACUUUUCUUACACAUUAAGGUGUUGAAGUUUUGGGUGUUUUCACUAGCCUGCAUCGGAAUAAUCCAUCAGUUGUAAUUAUUUUGUAUGUACUUGUGAAGGCCAGGAAGUGACAUGUUUUGAUACUAAAUAACUGCUUUAACAGGGGUCUUAGUGUGGAUUAUUGAGGUAAACUAGAAGUUUGGGUUAAGUCUUAUCUUAAUUAUAGUUUGUUAAGUGUUUAGUUGUGUUUUUACAAGUAUUGGUGAAUUUUGUUGACCUUCUUCAAUGGAUAGAACCCUUUUAUGUGGAUAAUACAUAUUAUAGUUAUUUUAUUUGAAAACAACCUAUUUAGAUGUU